AGCAGCCGCGGUAAUUCCAGCUCCAAUAGCGUAUAUUAAAGUUGUUGCAGUUAAAAAGCUCGUAGUUGAAUUUCGGAAUCUGUCCGUCGGUCGGGCUUCACUGUCCGUACUGGCGUGAUGGGUUUCUACCUUCUGAAUAACCGGCAUGUCAUUAAUUUGGUGCGCCGGGGAAGCAGAACUAUUACCUUGAAAAAAUUAGAGUGCUUAAAGCAGGCUAUCGCCCGAAUAGAUUAGCAUGGAAUAAUAAAAUAGGACGGCAUGGUUCUAUUUUGUUGGUUUCUAGGAUCACCGUAAUGAUUAAUAGGGAUAGUUGGGGGCAUUAGUAUUCAAUUGUCAGAGGUGAAAUUCUUGGAUUUAUUGAAGACUAACUUCUGCGAAAGCAUUUGCCAAGGAUGUUUUCAUUAAUCAAGAACGAAAGUUAGGGGAUCGAAGACGAUCAGAUACCGUCGUAGUCUUAACCAUAAACUAUGCCGACUAGGGAUCGGACGAUGUUAAUUUUUUAAUGACUCG
rnacentral:rRNA from 1 species